rnacentral:rRNA from 1 species
CGAAUGCUGACAUAAGUAACGAUAAAGCGGGUGAAAAGCCCGCUCGCCGGAAGACCAAGGGUUCCUGUCCAACGUUAAUCGGGGCAGGGUGAGUCGACCCCUAAGGCGAGGCCGAAAGGCGUAGUCGAUGGGAAACAGGUUAAUAUUCCUGUACUUGGUGUUACUGCGAAGGGGGGACGGAGAAGGCUAUGUUGGCCGGGCGACGGUUGUCCCGGUUUAAGCGUGUAGGCUGGUUUUCCAGGCAAAUCCGGAAAAUCAAGGCUGAGGCGUGAUGACGAGGCACUACGGUGCUGAAGCAACAAAUGCCCUGCUUCCAGGAAAAGCCUCUAAGCAUCAGGUAACAUCAAAUCGUACCCCAAACCGACACAGGUGGUCAGGUAGAGAAUACCAAGGCGCUUGAGAGAACUCGGGUGAAGGAACUAGGCAAAAUGGUGCCGUAACUUCGGGAGAAGGCACGCUGAUAUGUAGGUGAAGUCCCUCGCGGAUGGAGCUGAAAUCAGUCGAAGAUACCAGCUGGCUGCAACUGUUUAUUAAAAACACAGCACUGUGCAAACACGAAAGUGGACGUAUACGGUGUGACGCCUGCCCGGUGCCGGAAGGUUAAUUGAUGGGGUCAGCGCAAGCGAAGCUCUUGAUCGAAGCCCCGGUAAACGGCGGCCGUAACUAUAACGGUCCUAAGGUAGCGAAAUUCCUUGUCGGGUAAGUUCCGACCUGCACGAAUGGCGUAAUGAUGGCCAGGCUGUCUCCACCCGAGACUCAGUGAAAUUGAACUCGCUGUGAAGAUGCAGUGUACCCGCGGCAAGACGGAAAGACCCCGUGAACCUUUACUAUAGCUUGACACUGAACAUUGAGCCUUGAUGUGUAGGAUAGGUGGGAGGCUUUGAAGUGUGGACGCCAGUCUGCAUGGAGCCGACCUUGAAAUACCACCCUUUAAUGUUUGAUGUUCUAACGUGGACCCGUAAUCCGGGUUGCGGACAGUGUCUGGUGGGUAGUUUGACUGGGGCGGUCUCCUCCUAAAGAGUAACGGAGGAGCACGAAGGUUGGCUAAUCCUGGUCGGACAUCAGGAGGUUAGUGCAAUGGCAUAAGCCAGCUUGACUGCGAGCGUGACGGCGCGAGCAGGUGCGAAAGCAGGUCAUAGUGAUCCGGUGGUUCUGAAUGGAAGGGCCAUCGCUCAACGGAUAAAAGGUACUCCGGGGAUAACAGGCUGAUACCGCCCAAGAGUUCAUAUCGACGGCGGUGUUUGGCACCUCGAUGUCGGCUCAUCACAUCCUGGGGCUGAAGUAGGUCCCAAGGGUAUGGCUGUUCGCCAUUUAAAGUGGUACGCGAGCUGGGUUUAGAACGUCGUGAGACAGUUCGGUCCCUAUCUGCCGUGGGCGCUGGAGAACUGAGGGGGGCUGCUCCUAGUACGAGAGGACCGGAGUGGACGCAUCACUGGUGUUCGGGUUGUCAUGCCAAUGGCACUGCCCGGUAGCUAAAUGCGGAAGAGAUAAGUGCUGAAAGCAUCUAAGCACGAAACUUGCCCCGAGAUGAGUUCUCCCUGACUCCUUGAGAGUCCUGAAGGAACGUUGAAGACGACGACGUUGAUAGGCCGGGUGUGUAAGCGCAGCGAUGCGUUGAGCUAACCGGUACUAAUGAACCGUGAGGCUUAACC